GGAGAAGACAGACAGAUUCCAUCAGCUUAUGACCUUCUGGACACAGAGCAUUGCAACAGAAGGUGCUCUAGAUUGGCACUUAGAACACCUGCAUUCCCAUCUUGUUCCUUCCCACUUACAUAGCACACAGAGUGCUUAUGAAAUGAUUAUUGAAUGAUAAAACAAAGUCCAUAUGGUAGAAGGCUUUAGAAGAUAAUUGGAGGCAGUGUAGUAUAGUAGAAAGGUCACUACUGUCCGGGAACUUGCCUUUGAUGCUUACAAUAAUCUGGGCUUAGAUGGACCACUUCAACUUUUGGGACCUUUCCUCAUCUAUAAAAUAAGGGGUCUGGACUGGAUGAUUUCUAUGAUUCUUUUCAGCCCCCCAAUACUAUUAUCCUUAUUUUUAUUUUAUUUAUUUAUUUAUUUUGCCCUAUGAGGCUUUUACAUUCUUCACUACAGUUAUAUGUCUUCUACUCAGAAAGGAUGCUCAAUGAUCCGGAGACGCUAUGCUCUUCAUUCAAAGGACAGAGCUGAGGUUUUGGGAGAAAAAAAGUGCUUGUUCCUUACUACAAACCACAGCAGCAAAAUCAACUCUCCCAGGGAAGCAGAUUGUGGAAAGAAUACAGAAUGAAGGGGAAAAAAGAAAAAGAGUGAUAAGUGCCUACCUACUAGGAGCCAAAAUAUAAGCACCUUCAAGAAAGGCAUGGUUUUUCAUUUAGUUCUCCACAUUCCCAAGAAUCCAGCUUAAUAGCAGGCUCUCAGAAAUGGUUUGCUGAAUGAAUGAAUGACAGCAUUUUUUGGAAGACACUGACAAGAAUUAUAAAGAAGAUACCAAAUCUUCAUACUAAGAGCCCAUGUGUGACAUGAAUGACGACACAAGGAACUUAAGGCACCCUCUACCACUGAGUUGAAGAUAAACCCAGAGGAAGAUAAAAAGCUCUUUUAUGGGGAAAGAUUAAAGGAGUAAAUUGUACUGCUUAUAAGAAGUCCUGACAAUAAGAAUCUCAAAUGGCACAAAUGCCAAGAGGAAUAUGAAUUAUUCAGUGUGGCAAACAUAUUAUUAGUAAAACUAGGAUGGAAAGCAAAAUCUGAAGCUGAACAAUGAUUUUUAGAAAAUACUUCCUGCUAGAGAGAGCAGCUCUCCUCCCCUAAAGACCUGUCUGACCCUCCUACCUCUCCCCCUAGGAAAUUCUGAGUGCUUCUGCAGCCUAAGAUCUUUCUUCUUGGGCAAAACCCUCCAAGACCUUGUCUGCGUUAUCCCUAUGGCCAGAGUUCAGUGAUUCACCAAAAUUCAACAUGGGUCUACAGAAUUCAUGUUCUGAUCUGUAGAAAAAAACCCAAUCACAAAAUGAAUUAACCAAAUGCCAAAACUAUGAGAGGUAAGGGUAGGAGAGAAAGCCAAGCAAAAUCCGGUUCUGCCUCUUAAUUACAAAUCUCAUGUUGAAUACAAACAUUCCUAAAUGUUUCAUAAUGCUCCUAGAAAAACAUCCCAGGACAAGUAACCUUGAGGACCUAGAGAUCAUUGGAUGUUGCAUAUAUAGGCCUUUAGAAAGGAGAUAUACUCCACCCUUGGGGAAGCCUUCAACCCCUCAGAUGGGGCAGGCGGUGGGGAGAGAAAGGGGGAGAGAUGGAGUUUCUUCUAGGAGCAUAUACCACCAACCUUUUUAUUUUCCAACUCUCCUCUGAGAAGGGUACUCCCAGCUGGAUAUUGAGAAUAUUAAUGUUGAUAAUGAUACGGUCGGUAGUCAACAAUCAAAUAUUUUAGAGAGGUUCAAGGUUUUAUCCACAGUUUAACAAUAAAACCCAUAGCACCGUU